rnacentral:rRNA from 1 species
GACGUAGGAUGCGAGCGUUGUCCGGAUUUAUUGGGCGUAAAGAGUUCGUAGGUGGUUCAUUAAGUCUGGUGUUAAAGACCGGGGCUCAACCUCGGGAUCGCACUGGAUACUGGUGGACUGGAGUGCAGUAGAGGCAAGCGGAAUUCCAGGUGUAGCGGUGAAAUGCGUAGAUAUCUGGAAGAACACCGGUGGCGCAAGCGGCUUGCUGGGCUGUAACUGACACUGAGGAACGAAAGCUAGGGAGCAAAUGGG